UACAGGGGUCUCGAGCGUUAAUCGGAAUCACUGGGCUUAAAGGGUGCGUAGGCGGAUCCGUAAGAGCUUUGUGAAAUCCCCCGGCUCAACCGGGGAAUUGCAGGGCGAACUGCGGAUCUUGAGGAAACUAGAGGCCGGUAGAACGAUUGGUGGAGCGGUGGAAUGCGUAGAUAUCAAUCGGAAUGCCAAAAGUGAAGACAGCCGGCUGGGGUUUUCCUGACGCUGAGGCACGAAAGCGUGGGGAGCAAACCGG
rnacentral:rRNA from 1 species